AUGUCGACCCAACCUAGAUUUGCAUAAAUCGAUUCGGAAUAUCAACUCAGCAGCGGAGCUCAGGUCUGAGACGGGGGUGUACUGAAAAUUUUCGUUGCUUACUUUCCCCCAUCACCACAGACCUAUCUCAGGAUCAAGAAUCGGGAAAGUUACAAACUGUUGGGCUAGACAUCGUCAUCGUGCUCCUGAUCUCGUCCUCUGUAAGCCUAGGUACGGAGUUUUUCAAAAAAUUCAUGAGUUGUAUUUGCUCGGUUAUUAUUCUUCUUGCCAAAAAUAUGUUAUUUUCUUAUCUCUUUUGGGAUAAUACCCGACCCCACUUUGUUGAGAUCUGAAAUUUCCGUUUGUGUAUGCAACUUCUACUAGGGACCACGAGUAUCUAUAUUUUGGGUGCCAUUUUAUUA